rnacentral:rRNA from 1 species
CGUAGGGUGCAAGCGUUAAUCGGAAUUACUGGGCGUAAAGCGUGCGCAGGCGGUGAUGUAAGACAGGUGUGAAAUCCCCGGGCUUAACCUGGGAACUGCAUUUGUGACUGCAUCGCUGGAGUGCGGCAGAGGGGGAUGGAAUUCCGCGUGUAGCAGUGAAAUGCGUAGAUAUGCGGAGGAACACCGAUGGCGAAGGCAAUCCCCUGGGCCUGCACUGACGCUCAUGCACGAAAGCGUGGGGAGCAAACAGGAUUAGAUACCCUGGUAGUCCACGCCCUAAACGAUGUCAACUGGUUGUUGGUCCUUCACUGGAUCAGUAACGAAGCUAACGCGUGAAGUUGACCGCCUGGGGAGUACGGCCGCAAGGUUG